CUGACUCUUUCUCUCUUUCUCGUCCAACCUCCAAACUGUCAAGAUCUACAUUCAUCACCUUAUUUGAGGUAAAACCAAAGAAAUAUGUGGCAACUGACAGUAAUGUUGUAUUCUUAGUACAUGCAAAUUCUGUUCAGAAAACAUGACCUGAGCUAAGACAACAGAGAGAAAAUCGUAUUAUUUCCCACAGACAUUAUAGUUCAUGGAGAUAUAAUUGAUAUAAUUGCAAAGCAGAGAAGAAGUGUGCAGAAAAGUUUGGUAAAGACAAUAGUGACAAUUAUGACUGAGGCAAAAUAAGUACAAACAUUUAAGGAAAUCUGAAAGUGACAAAGAGUUUAGGCAGACAGUGUUUAUAAAUGCAGAUAGUGGAGGCAGACAGAGCUUCAGUAAAGAGUUGAGGCAGAAAGAGUUUCUGCAAAGGACCGAGACAGAUAGUUUCAGCAGAGAGCUGAGCUAGACACAGAAAUUCAGCAAAAGACUUGUGCAGAUAAAAAAAGAGACACAAAUAGUUGUAGUGAAGAUGUGUAGACACACUUAGUUUUAAGCCAAGAUUUGAGACAUAAUGUGUUUCAGCAAAGAGGAAAACAAAGAGCUGAGGCGGGCAGAGUCGUUCAGUUAAGUGGACAUUUACAUUGAAGUAGGUGCUAUUCUAAACAAGUGGGCUUGUUAAAUUGGAUCUUCCUAGAAAUGGGCUGCAUCUCAGAAUCAACACCGCUAACCAAAUGCUUAAAAAGUGGGUUGAUUACAUUGGUACUCAACACUGGCAAGCAGAGGCUGAAAAAAGCAGGUUGGUUACAUCGGACAUACAGAAACUCGGAAUGGAGCAGCAUAGGGACAUUACAUUAGAUAUUCUGACAAAUUUAUAAGGUAUCUUGAGAAACUGUCAAUACAUGUAAAAUUAGAUCUAUCAAGUUUCUGACACUUAAAAGAUUAAAAGGAAUGAAUGAAUAUUUUGACAGUUUUAAAGCAACUGUUUUAUUGAGAGAGAAUGAUUGUGUGAAAGUGACAAAAAGUUCUUUGAUACAUAUUUUGUUAAAAAAUUGGGCACACUGAUGCAAAUUAAUUUUGUGAGUUUCUUCUCUCUAAAUUUUGUAAAUACAUUUGAAAUAGAUAUUUUGAUUACAGUUCAUUUCCAACAAAUUUCUGUAAAUUUUCGGGCAUUGUCAAUUUGAGCAAGUGUUUUUAAACUGCCUGUUGAACAUUCUUUCAUAUACUGGCCUGACCACAGCUAAUUCAAAAUCUACCUUUAAUGUUUGAAACUUCUGCCAUAUUUUACUUUGAAACCUUGUCUUUCCAAUAUCAGUUGUUGUAUUAACCUUUACCCUGCUGCUUAAAGUUUCUCAAAUGGACUGGUUCAUCAUUCAGUUCAGGCAGUACCAUUUAUUAAUGAAAGGGAUGUUUACUGAAAACUUACUGACUGAAUAGCAAGCAGUGCAGAACAUGACAGACUGCAUGUGUAUGCAGGUUGAUCAUGGUCUGCACUGGUCGCAAAGGCAAAAUCACUUGCCAUCAGAAGACUAAUGGUUAAGAUGCAAAUGGUAACAAAAUUGUGCUUACUCAUAAAAUACAGAAGGGUAAAACUACACAUUUAUUGGAAUUAUUAUAUGCCCGAAGGUACUAUGUGAAAAAUUUUAUGGCUUAUUGGUAGUAGGCGACAACCACAGAAGUUGGUCACCAUAUCUUGAGUAGUUUUCCAAUGUUUAGUGUUGUAUGGCCAUAAUGCAAUACGUAGAGCUGUCCUUCAACUCUCGAGUCAUAUGGAGAAGUUGUCCAUUGCUUGUGGAGGAAGUCAGUAUUGAUGCAGAAAGCAGGGACACUGGUUAGCUUAACUGUUCAUUGUUGUAUAGCUGAAAUACUGAAUUAUAUGA